CCGGAAGGGAGGCCAUUGCUAUCGGAGUCCGAUUUAGCCAUUCCUAGUUGUGCGGGUUUAGACCCGCAGCGGAAAGCUCAGUAACACGUGGCCAAGCUACCCUGUGGACGGGAAUACUCUCGGGAAACUGAGGCUAAUCCCCGAUAACGCUUUGCUCCUGGAAGGGGCAAAGCCGGAAACGCUCCGGCGCCACAGGAUGCGGCUGCGGUCGAUUAGGUAGACGGUGGGGUAACGGCCCACCGUGCCCAUAAUCGGUACGGGUUGUGAGAGCAAGAGCCCGGAGACGGAAUCUGAGACAAGAUUCCGGGCCCUACGGGGCGCAGCAGGCGCGAAACCUUUACACUGUACGAAAGUGCGAUAAGGGGACUCCGAGUGUGAAGGCAUAGAGCCUUCACUUUUGUACACCGUAAGGUGGUGUACGAAUAAGGACUGGGCAAGACCGGUGCCAGCCGCCGCGGUAAUACCGGCAGUCCGAGUGAUGGCCGAUAUUAUUGGGCCUAAAGCGUCCGUAGCUGGCUGAACAAGUCCGUUGGGAAAUCUGUCCGCUUAACGGGCAGGCGUCCAGCGGAAACUGUUCAGCUUGGGACCGGAAGACCUGAGGGGUACGUCUGGGGUAGGAGUGAAAUCCUGUAAUCCUGGACGGACCGCCGGUGGCGAAAGCGCCUCAGGAGAACGGAUCCGACAGUGAGGGACGAAAGCUAGGGUCUCGAACCGGAUUAGAUACCCGGGUAGUCCUAGCUGUAAACGAUGUCCGCUUAGUGUGGCGCAGGCUACGAGCCUGCGCUGUGCCGUAGGGAAGCCGAGAGCGGACCGCCUGAAGUACGUCUGCACGAUGAACUUAAAGGA
rnacentral:rRNA from 1 species